rnacentral:hammerhead_ribozyme from 1 species
AUCUAGCUGACCAGUCCCACAUAAGAUGAAACGUGCGUCCUAGAU